AUGAGUGACAACAUUGAUGAUGAUGUUAAUGACCCAGUCAGUGUUGUUGAUGGUUAUAUCCCUAAGAACAACGAAGUUCAUGACCGGUCUACUCUUGUCAAGGAAAGUGUUACUAAAGAUGUUGGUCUUAAUAAAAAGUCCGACAAAAUGUCAAAGAAAAAGGUGGAAAAUAAAAAGGUUGUGUUGAAUGCUAAAAAGACUCCUUCCAAUAAGAUCCCUACUCCUACCAAGGCAAAGAAAACUCCUAAGAAGAAGAAGAAGAAAUAUGUGGUGGUUAGUAAGAAAUCAAUUAGGAAGAAAGGGAAUGUUGCUCAUUGUUGA